rnacentral:rRNA from 1 species
UACGGAGGGUGCAAGCGUUGUUCGGAAUCAUUGGGCGUAAAAGCGCGUGUAGGCGGCUUGGCAAGUCGGUUGUGAAAAUCCCGGGGGCCCAACCCCCGGAACUGCAUUCGAAAACUGCCUCGCUAGAGUCCCCGGAGAGGAAGGCGGAAUUCCCCGGUGUAGAGGUGAAAAUUCGUAGAUAUCGGGGAGGAACACCAGCGGCGAAGGCGGCCUCUGGACGGGUGACUGACGCUGAGACGCGAAAAAGCGUGGGGGGAGAAAA